rnacentral:ncRNA from 1 species
AAAACGGCCCUUUUCAGGGCCAACAAAACUAAUCUAAUAAACCAUUU